rnacentral:rRNA from 1 species
GUGGGGAAUAUUGGACAAUGGGCGAAAGCCUGAUCCAGCCAUGCCGCGUGUGUGAAGAAGGUCUUCGGAUUGUAAAGCACUUUAAGUUGGGAGGAAGGGCAGUAAGUUAAUACCUUGCUGUUUUGACGUUACCGACAGAAUAAGCACCGGCUAACUUCGUGCCAGCAGCCGCGGUAAUACGAAGGGUGCAAGCGUUAAUCGGAAUUACUGGGCGUAAAGCGCGCGUAGGUGGUUUUGUAAGUUGGAGGUGAAAUCCCCGGGCUCAACCUGGGAACGUCCACCAAAACUGCAUGACUAGAGUACGGGAGAGGGUAGUGGAAUUUCCUGUGUAGCGGUGAAAUGCGUAGAUAUAGGAAGGAACACCAGUGGCGAAGGCGACUACCUGGACUGAUACUGACACUGAGGUGCGAAAGCGUGGGGAGCAAACAGGAUUAGAUACCCGUGUAGUCC